rnacentral:rRNA from 1 species
UGGGGAAUUUUGGACAAUGGGCGAAAGCCUGAUCCAGCAAUGCCGCGUGUGUGAAGAAGGCCUUCGGGUUGUAAAGCACUUUUGUCCGGAAAGAAAUGGCUCUGGUUAAUACCUGGGGUCGAUGACGGUACCGGAAGAAUAAGGACCGGCUAACUACGUGCCAGCAGCCGCGGUAAUACGUAGGGUCCAAGCGUUAAUCGGAAUUACUGGGCGUAAAGCGUGCGCAGGCGGUUGUGCAAGACCGAUGUGAAAUCCCCGAGCUUAACUUGGGAAUUGCAUUGGUGACUGCACGGCUAGAGUGUGUCAGAGGGGGGUUAGAAUUCCACGUGUAGCAGUGAAAUGCGUAGAGAUGUGGAGGAAUACCGAUGGCGAAGGCAGCCCCCUGGGAUAACACUGACGCUCAUGCACGAAAGCGUGGGGAGCAAACAGGAUUAGAUACCCUGGUAGUCCACGCCCUAAACGAUGUCAACUAGUUGUUGGGGAUUCAUUUCCUUAGUAACGUAGCUAACGCGUGAAGUUGACCGCCU